rnacentral:rRNA from 1 species
GAUGAACGCUGGCGGCGUGCCUAAUACAUGCAAGUCGAGCGAACGGACGAGAAGCUUGCUUCUCUGAUGUUAGCGGCGGACGGGUGAGUAACACGUGGAGAACCUACCUAAAAGACUGGGAUAAUUUCGGGAAACCGGAGAUAAUACCGGAUAAUAUUUUGAACCGCAUGGUUCAAAAGUGAAAGACGGUCUUGCUGUCACUUAUAGAUGGAUCCGCGCUGCAUUAGCUAGUUGGUAAGGUAACGGCUUACCAAGGCAACGAUGCACAGCCGCCCUGAGAGGGUGAUCGGCCACACUGGAACUGAGACACGGUCCAGACUCCUACGGGAGGCAGCAGUAGGGAAUCUUCCGCAAUGGGCGAAAGCCUGACGGAGCAACGCCGCGUGAGUGAUGAAGGUCUUCGGAUCGUAAAACUCUGUUAUUAGGGAAGAACAUAUGUGUAAGUAACUGUGCACAUCUUGACGGUACCUAAUCAGAAAGCCACGGCUAACUACGUG